rnacentral:rRNA from 1 species
AUUGAACGCUGGCGGCAGGCUUAACACAUGCAAGUCGAGCGAGCGGCGGACUGGUGAGUAAUGUCUGGGAAACUGCCUGAUGGAGGGGGAUAACUGCUGGAAACGGUAGCUAAUACCGCAUACCAUCAGUUGUGCCCAGUGGGGAUUAGCUAGUGGGGGGGGUAACGGCGCAUCUAGGCGACGAUGCCUAGCUGGCCUGAGAGGAUGACCGGCCACACUGGAACUGAGACACGGCCCAGACUCCUACGGGAGGCAGCAGUGGGGAAUCUUCGACAAUGGGCGAAAGCCUGAUGGAGCAAUGCCGCGUGUGUGAAGAAGGCCUUCGGGUUGUAAAGCACUGUCAGUGGGGAGGCGUUACCCACAGAAGAAGCACCGGCUAACUCCGUGCCAGCAGCCGCGGUAAUAC